rnacentral:misc_RNA from 1 species
AAGCAAUCUAUUUCAGUACUAGUAUGUAUGAAUUUUCUAAGCACAAAGAGUAGUAUAUACAUAUCCAACAAUCAAUCACCACCUUUAUGUAUAUAACAGAAUCAAAAUACAGGAGAAAAGUCUGCACAAAUUUUUACAUGGCAAAGGUCCAGUUUGUAGACCAAGUGAAGAACAUAUAUCCUUUGAAAACAUUACAGCAUACAACAGGCAAUGAAAUUUGAUUUAACUAAGAACUUGCUCUUUGAUAAAAUGGCUACUUACAUUUACAACUUAUCAAUUGUGGAAGGCUGCUUGAAAAAUGUCAGCAGUUUGAAUUAUGUCUAUAUAGGUUUACAACAUCAUUACCAAAAGGCACACCUUGGGUUGCCAGUGCAUGGCUCUGUUGAUGACUUUUAUCUCUGUCUCCAUGAGAUUUUCACUUGCUAGGGUCCCUGUAUUGCAAUACUAGGCAGGCUCACGAGGACGAGUCACCCAAAGUGUGCUCAAAGCUCGUAGUCGUUGGAAGUACUCCCCCAAGGCAAGCAGACCUCGAGCUGCUUGACGUGUUGUUAAGAUUAUUGACAUCUGCUGCAGAGUUAUCUGGCGAAGAUGAUCAGCCUGCUGCACAAAGCGUACCAAACCCUCCAACUUCUCCAUUGCAGUAUCCAUCUGUGGCAUAUGACUUGCUUCACCCAGUCGACCAGCUGCUACAGUCUCGGCAAGAGUUUGCUGGAGUUUUUCCAUUCCUUGUGAAAGAGCAUCUUCUGCCUGCUGGCAUGAUUGUUUAAGGUUACAGACGUCCAAAAGUUGUUGGUCUGUCAAGGGCUCAAGCUGAGGCUUGAGAACCUUAAGAAGCUCCGAAGGGCGAAAUCCUCCUAUCCACAAGAAAAACCGUUCCGCUGAUGAUUUCCACAUUCCAGACAUCAGAUAGAAAACAUCAGCCUUUGCAGCAGUUGCUUUCAUGCGAAAAAGUUCAGAAUAGUGGUUUAUGCCAGUAUCUACAAGUAUGCGAAGCUCAAAAUCACUUAUAUGAGCAUUUAAAGCAGUCCUUAAAUCGCAAAUGUUUUUAUUUUGUUCUUCCAACCAGUGUCCGUACUCCAUCUCAAAAGUGGCAAUACCUGAGUUUAUUGGCCCAGCAAACCCCAUAUGACUAGUUUCUACCCCGCCUAUAUAUAGACCCUGAUGUCUAGCCCUUUCAAGCUCCUGCUCCAACUGAAACAGCUUUAAACGGCUUGAUUCUAACUGCUGAACAUAAGCCUUUUUCCUUAAACGGCUUUUACGAGCAGCCUCACGGUUCUGUGCAAGACGUCUUUUUACCUUAUCAAUGGGUUUGCUUGCUUCUUGAUCAUAUUUGCUAGAAGGCCCAAGAGUACCAUGUGAAGUAUCUUCUGACUGAUUGUCUAGCUUUGUAUCUGCUGCUAUUAAUAUUGGUUGAGAUGAAUUUGGAUUGCCAGCUAUAAACAUUGAUGUGGAUGCAUUUGAAAUUCCAUUACUCUUAAAGUUUUCUCCCCACAUGCCAAUCUGGUGGAUAGGGUCAUACAUACCCAUCCUUCCUGAGGAGACAAACUGUGUAGACGGAGAGUUCAUGCUUUUUCUACUGAUGAUAGAGGUAGCUCAAUAAGCUUUUGAAACAACCAGAGUGAAGGAAAUAAAUUCCACUGAUCUUAUAAGUGAAGACGCAUCAAUUAGCCAAAAUUCUAGCCUAUCAACAUAAAAGUAGUCGUGACACUUCAGAACAGCACAAUCUGUAGUGAAGGAUGAUAACAAACACUAUGAGAAAGGAUAUACGAAUGAGAACAGUUGAAAGUCAAACAACGAAAAUUGUUUAUGAAGUUCCCACAACAGGAGGUCCACAAAAACAGGUAAACAAGCAAGCUAAACUAAGUUGAAAUUUUCCAGAAACAUAUGCUCAAGCAUUUUUCACUAUCAACUUAAAAAGCAUCCACAAAAGCACAAAUACUCUAGACAACAAUCCAACUCCAAAGCAACAUAGGACUCUUAUAAGUUCACAAUGAGGUUUCCACUUUGCAGUGGAGUGGAACAUAUCUAGCCAUAAUUGGAAAGUUAAGAAAAUAACACUUCUUUUCCCAACUGAUAGCCGCAAUCACAUAUCUGGAAUUUUUACUUCCAAAUUAACCAGAAAUUCAGUUUAGUUGCGGAACAAGAAAAUUAAAAAAUAGCAGAAUUCACUAAAACAAGCACCAACACAACCCCAAAAAAGAAAGAGAGAGAAUCAAUAUAGAAAAGAACAAUCCUUUUCAUUCAAUCCAUGAUUUCUGCUAUUUCAUUAUAAAAACCAUAACUCAACCCUUCAAAUGAACUUACAAAUCCAACAUCUUCUAAGAAACAAAUAAUCAAAACACCCCCUUUGGGUACUGGAAAACAUAGAUAACAGCAUGAAACCAAACACAUAUUAUAUUACAUGUAUGAGAGAUUAUGCAUAUAUAUUAUAUGCACAUAACUAAAAAAAUCCAAUCUUUCAUCUCUGAGAACAACACUUCAUUUAAAAUCAAU